UACGUAGGGGGCUAGCGUUGUCCGGAAUCAUUGGGCGUAAAGCGCGUGUAGGCGGUUCGGUAAGUCCGCUGUGAAAGUCGGGGGCUCAACCCUCGAAUGCCGGUGGAUACUGUCGGACUAGAGUACGGAAGAGGCGAGUGGAAUUCCUGGUGUAGCGGUGAAAUUCGUAGAUAUUGGGAAGAACACCGGUGGCGAAGGCGGCUCACCUGGCCUCCAGUAUCUGACGCUCAGCGCGACAGCGUGGGGAGGUCCAAACAGG
rnacentral:rRNA from 1 species